rnacentral:lncRNA from 1 species
CUUCGCCAGCCCAGACUGCUUCCCCUGCUUUGUGUCCCAGUAGUCUUGGAGAUAGGCUCUAAUGGUACUGGGGGGUGACUCACUUUGGGGUCCCUGGUGAAAGUAGUCCUAACCAUGGGUUGGGAAGAUAGGUCAGAUGGUGGAGGGGCUCCGGUCCCCACAUCGGUGUUGGACAGGAAGCCUUCGAGGACACUUCUGGACACUUUGAUGACACAUGUGCCCCUUUUCAGCCAUUAGCCAGGGACUUCAGCACAGAGAGGUCUGGGCCCAGACACAGGAUCAGAUCCAAGUCUACCCUCAGUAGGAACGGGGACCACACAGGAAAGUCGUACAAAUCAGGUGUCCCACUGAGGAAAUGACAGCCUAAAGCACGCAGAUUCUCGGGCUCUCCCCGCUCCCCUUAUCUGGCUUCAAGUCCACGUGUGCCCUCCACAGCCUAUAGUAGAGUAGAUGCUGCCUUUCUGGUAGAUUUGGACCCAGUUCUAUUUGGCCAGUGUAGACAGAGCCGCUUCUAACAGUGCUGCUGCUAAGGGUGUGUGAUGCCUCAGUGUGUCUCCAGGAUGCCCCAGCCCCACCCCGUCACAUAACUGAGUUUCUUCUCUUCUUUCCCCCAAGAGUGGAUCAGGCCAUCUACGGCUGCCCCCCUUGGGGAGAGCUCCCCCUGGCCCCAGGCGCCCUCCAGUGCAGAAGCUGUGGGCACCUCCGCCCCUCCCCCUGCCCUGGCCUCCAAACCUUUCCAGCUCAAGCCCAAAGCUGCUCAAGUGGUGCCCAUUGAAGAGUUCCAAGGUAAGAGGAAGGCCCCGGGCUGGACCAGCCCUCCUCCAGCACCUCUACCCUCACCUCCAUUGGAAAACAGCGAUGCAGAACGGAGGACCCAUGCCUGGCUCAGAAAACCCUCCCGGAGUAGCUGGGUCAAGGUGAAACUGAGCCUCUCUUCCCUCAGUCCUCCCUCCCCAAGGGAGCUGGGAGCAGGUAUGAGUCAGAAGCACAGUGGGCAGGCCCGGGGCAGGCAGAGCAGCGACCAGAAAUAGCCUGUCCUGGCCCCCCUGGGAGGUGUGGCCCAGGGGCUCGUCUCGAUUGGAACAAGAGCUGGAACACAGGGGUCACUGGCA